ACAUCUGAUAAAGACAAAGCAUUGAAUCUCUUUUUUCCUUGGCAGAUUACAUUAAAGGUAAAGAAGACCUUUGUUUACAAUUUGUCAUAAGAAGCAUACCAAUAAUCUAAGGAAACCUCUUCCUUUCAUUUUAUUUCAUUUCAAUUCCAGUGUAGUCAAGAUACAGUCUUAUGUUAGUUUCUGGCAUGCAAAAUAGCAAUUCAGCCGUUCUGUAUACAGCUGCGUGCUCAUCAGGAGCCACUCAGUACACAUGCAUGUUGCUUAGCUAUUUGUUAGAGCCUAAAGCUGGCAAAGAGAACGUGGUAAUGAAGCUCAAGAAACUGGAGUCCAGUGUGAGCACUGGCCGUAAAUGGUUCAGACUAGGCAACGUGGUGCACGCCCUCCAGGCGACGCAGCAGAGCAUCCACGCCCCUGCGCUGGUGCCCCGCGUGUGCCUGACGUUAGCCAACGUGAACCGCGUGAUUUAUUUCGUCUGCGACACCGUCCUCUGGGUGAGGAGCGUAGGGCUGGCCGCGCACAUUAACAAAGAGAAGUGGCGGACGUGGGCCGCCCGCCACUACUGCUGCGCCCUCCUGCUGAGCCUGGCCAGGGAUCUGUACGAAAUCUCCCUGGAGAUGGAGCGGGCCGCGCGCGACAGGGCCCAGCGGGAGCAGCCGCCGUCCCGGGGUCCUCCUGGCUGCAGCGUGGCCGACGAGGAGACGGAAUGGCUCCAGGCCUUCCUCCUCCUCUUGUUCCGAGCCCUGAAGGGGCAUCCCCCCUUGCUCCUGGACACGGUAAAGAACCUCUGCGACAUCUUGAACCCCUUGGACCAGUUGGGGAUCUAUAGGUCCAACCCCGGCAUCAUUGGACUCGGAGGCCUCGUGUCGUCCCUGGCAGGCAUGGUCCUCGUGGCGUACCCCCGGCUGAAGCUGAGGACGCAGUGAGGUGCUCUCAGGCCCCGCACCGGCACCUGCUUGAAAAGGCAGCGUCUGCGGAGCGGGCAUCUGCAGGAGGCGCAGACCGUGUCCGACUGCGCGUGAGGACUCAGCCCUGCGAGUGACCCGCGACGUGAGCAAGGGCGGGUUCAGGCGUGCAGAACGGGAGCACCUGAGGAUUUAUAUGUGUGUUUUUGAGCGCUGUUGUGACUUCUGGAUUUCCGAGUAUUUUCCUUUCAUCUAACAUUUGUUGAGCAUCUCUUCUGCUCGGGGUGGGAGCUUACUGUUUGCUGAAUAUACAAAAACUAGAAGAGGCCCAAAUGAUCAUUAAUGUACAGUGUGACUUAGGGGCGGAGGGCCUCACUGCUUUUGCGCAGCGACUGCAGAUCUAAUGCGCAGCCGCCUCUCCGGUCUCCCAGGAGCCUCUUGUUCCUCUGGUCAGUUCCCGGCCCUGCACCCUGCACCCCUCCAUAGACGCGCACGCCAGGACGCAGGAAGCUGGGCUUAGAGCCUUGCAUCACAGCACUGCCGCCUUCCACUGGCCAGAAGGAGAGCCCGAAACGCAUCAGGCACCUUUGUGGGAUAAAUUGUGACUUCAGGUAGUGAACAAAACAGACUCCUGUCUCUGUGAUGCGUUCUGGGAAUGAGGAAGAGCGAAAGGAAGGCCAAUCCAGAGAUGCUCAGGGUGGACGCGGUCGGUCGAGAGGGCUCUGGCACGAGGAGCCUGGAAGACCCGGGCCGAGGGGGAGGACGGAGAAGGAUUGAGGCUGCACCGUCUGGGUUGAAAGACCGCUAGGAUGAUCUCCUGCGCCCGCUCUGCCAGCAGAGGCCUGGCUGCCACCUGGAGGCGUGGCCCUGGAGUCUGCGGCGGCGUGUUAGUGUGGCAGGUUACAGUCUUACACGUUACUGCUGCGUCCCCUGUGGCCCUUUGGCCCUUUGCAAUUUAGCGUGGGCCACGGGGAGUUUGGGAAAUACCAUCUCUGACUGGUACCCUGCUCCCUGCCUCUCUGUGCAUCUUUCUUGCUUCUAACUAACCAUCCCGACCUCCAAGCCUCCGCGUUCACGAGGGACUCUGAAAACCAAAGACAUUCCUAACAAACGCACAAAACAACUGACCGUUCCCUGAGAAUUUAUUCAACAGCGGAUGUUUGGAUGCCACGCUUCGUUUGGGGGUCCACUUGUG